rnacentral:lncRNA from 1 species
GAUUUUAAAAGUGCUCACAUCCUUUGUCAUCCAUCUAGCUGUAUAGAUCUCAAAGUACUCUAUCUUUGGUUAUUCAUCCGCUAUCAUAGAUAUCAAAUUGCUACUCUCCCUACCUAAAAUUAGAGCCCUUUGCUAAGUUAGUGGAAAGGACAGUUCUAAAAUUUUAUAAAAAAUUAAUUAUCAUGUGAUCCUCGUGUGAUAACAUUUCGUAAUAGAGAUAGACAGUUAGGCAACUAAAAUUUUUGUAGCUAAUUGACAUUUUUUAAACCUUUUAGAUCUAAGUAUAAGUAGCCUAAAUUUGGAGAGGUAUCUCUGUAAUUUUAUUAGCUUUUAUUAAAUAUCAACCACCAAUC